rnacentral:lncRNA from 1 species
UUAAAUCAGGAAACAGGAAACCUUAAUAGGUAACAUGAGUCAUUAACCAUAUGAAUGUGUGUAAACAGGGGAAUAUCUAAUGUCACUUCAGUAAAGCAUACAAUGUCAUAGAGACAUGCUUUCUAUUAUAUCCACAAAUAUUUGAAAGAAUACAUUGUAAAUAUUUAGAACGACAGUAUAAUUAAUAGGAUAUGUUCAAAAAGUGAGGAAAUUCACAGACAGCUUUAGACCCUAGGUUAGGAAAUUUGGAUUUUCAGAGAGAAAGCCACAAUUUCCAGUGAUCUUUCACUCACUGAUGCUUCAAUUUUGCAUGUGUUUACUGAAGACCACGCAUAAGGCACUGUACGUAAAGCUGUGUGGGACACAAGGAACUAU